rnacentral:rRNA from 1 species
AUUGAACGCUGGCGGCAGGCCUAACACAUGCAAGUCGAGCGGUAACAUUUCUAGCUUGCUAGAAGAUGACGAGCGGCGGACGGGUGAGUAACGCGUAGAAAUCUACCUAGUAGUGGGGGAUAGCCCAGAGAAAUUUGGAUUAAUACCGCAUACGCCCUACGGGGGAAAGCGGGGGAUCUUCGGACCUUGCGCUAUUAGAUGAGCCUGCGUCGGAUUAGCUUGUUGGUGGGGUAAAGGCCUACCAAGGCGACGAUCCGUAGCUGGUUUGAGAGGAUGACCAGCCACACUGGAACUGAGACACGGUCCAGACUCCUACGGGAGGCAGCAGUGGGGAAUAUUGCACAAUGGGCGCAAGCCUGAUGCAGCCAUGCCGCGUGUGUGAAGAAGGCCUUAGGGUUGUAAAGCACUUUCAGCAGUGAGGAAAGGGGUGUCGUUAAUAGCGCCAUCCUGUGACGUUAACUGCAGAAGAAGGACCGGCUAACUCCGUG